rnacentral:rRNA from 1 species
UCAAUGGGCGCAAGCCUGAACCAGCCAUGCCGCGUGCAGGAAGACUGCCCUAUGGGUUGUAAACUGCUUUAUACAGGAAGAAACACUCGGACGUGUCCGAGCUUGACGGUACUGUAAGAAUAAGGAUCGGCUAACUCCCGUGCCAGCAGCCGCGGUAAUACGGAGGAUCCAAGCGUUAUCCGGAAUCAUUGGGUUUAAAGGGUCCGUAGGUGGAUUAGUAAGUCAGAGGUGAAAGCCUGCAGCUCAACUGUAGAACUGCCUUUGAUACUGCUAGUCUUGAGUCAUUAUGAAGUGGUUAGAAUGUGUAGUGUAGCGGUGAAAUGCAUAGAUAUUACACAGAAUACCGAUUGCGAAGGCAGAUCACUAAUAAUGUACUGACACUGAUGGACGAAAGCGUGGGGAGCGAACAGGAUUAGAUACCCUGGUAG